rnacentral:rRNA from 1 species
CACGUAGAUGGCUUUGUAAGUCAGAUGUGAAAUCCCCGGGCUCAACCUGGGAACUGCAUUUGAAACUGCAUUGCUCGAAUGUGGAAGAGGGAAGCGGAAUUCCAGGUGUAGCGGUGAAAUGCGUAGAUAUCUGGAGGAACAUCAGUGGCGAAGGCGGCUUCCUGGUCCAACAUUGACAUUCAGGUGCGAAAGCGUGGGGAGCAAACAGGAUUAGAUACCCUGGUAGUCCACGUCAUAAACGAUGAGAACUAGAUGUCGGGAGGGUUAGCCUUCCGGUGUCGCAGCUAACGCGUUAAGUUCUCCGCCUGGGGAGUACGGCCGCAAGGUUGAA